rnacentral:rRNA from 1 species
UACAGGGGGGGCAAGCGUUGUUCGGAAUUACUGGGCGUAAAGGGCUCGUAGGCGGCCAACUAAGUCCGACGUGAAAUCCCAAAGCUUAACUUUGGAACUGCGUCGGAUACUGGAUGGCUUGAAUUCGGGAGAGGGAUGCAGAAUUCCAGGUGUAGCGGUGAAAUGCGUAGAGAUCAGGAAGAACACCAGUGGCGAAGGCGCUCUGCUAGGCCGUAACUGACACUGAGGGACGAAAGCUAGGGGAGCGAAUGGG